rnacentral:rRNA from 1 species
GUGCAGCAGUCGAGAAACCUCCGCAAUACACGAAAGUGUGGCGGGGCCAUCCCGAGUGCCGUCCGCUGAGGACGGCUUUUCCCCAGUGUACACAGCUGGGGGAAUAAGGAGAGGGCAAGCCUGGUGUCAGCCGCCGCGGUAAUACCAGCUCUCCGAGUGGUGGGGACGCUUAUUGGGCCUAAAGCAUCCGUAGCCGGCUGGGCAAGUCCUCCGUUAAAUCCAACGAUUCAAUCGUUGGGCUGCGGGGGAUACUGUCCAGCUUGGGGGCGGGAGAGGCCGACGGUAUUCCCGGGGUAGGGGUGAAAUCCUAUAAUCCCGGGAGGACCACCAGUGGCGAAGGCUGUCGGUUAGAACGCGCCCGACGGUGAGGGAUGAAAGCUGGGGGAGCGAACCGGAUUAGAUA